GUCUCUGUGGCGCAAUCGGUCAGCGCGCCUGGCUGUUAACCAGGAGGAUGGUGGUUCGAGCCCACCCAGGGACG